rnacentral:rRNA from 1 species
UAGGGAAUCUUCCGCAAUGGGCGAAAGCCUGACGGAGCAACGCCGCGUGAGUGAUGAAGGUCUUCGGAUCGUAAAACUCUUUUAUUAGGGAAGAACAAAUGUGUAAGUAACUAUGCACGUCUUGACGGUACCUAAUCAGAAAGCCACGGCUAACUACGUGCCAGCAGCCGCGGUAAUACGUAGGUGGCAAGCGUUAUCCGGAAUUAUUGGGCGUAAAGCGCGCGUAGGCGGUUUUUUAAGUCUGAUGUGAAAGCCCACGGCUCAACCGUGGAGGGUCAUUGGAAACUGGAAAACUUGAGUGCAGAAGAGGAAAGUGGAAUUCCAUGUGUGGCGGUGAAAUACGCAGAGAUAUGGAGGAACACCAGUGGCGAAGGCGACUUUCUGGUCUGUAACUGACGCUGAUGUGCGAAAGCGUGGGGAUCAAACAGG